rnacentral:sRNA from 1 species
GUUAUCCAAACCAACAACCAUCCUACGGAGGAUACGGUCAACCACCUCAACAGCCAGGCUAUGGAAACGGUAGCUACGACCCAUAUGGCCAACCCCAGCAACAACCGUAUCCCGGCGGUGGAGGUCAGCCACCGUACCCCGGCUCCAACUCCAAUCAAGGAGGUGGCGGCUACCCAGGACAAGGUGGUGCUCCAUACCCUGGAGGUAGUGGCGGAUACCCUCAGGCUCCUCAAUACGGAUUCUCCGGUGGUCAGGGCUCUGCCCCGCAGCCAAAUCAAGGCGGCUACCCACCCCAACAACAACAGUACCCUCCACAGCAAGGAUAUCAGCAGGGAGGUCAGCAGCAAGGUGGUGGUGGAUUUUUCCCGAAUCAAGGAUAUGGUCAACCAGG